GGCUCAGGAUGAACGCUAGCUACAGGCUUAACACAUGCAAGUCGAGGGGAAACGACAUCGAAAGCUUGCUUUUGAUGGGUGUCGACCGGCGCACGGGUGAGUAACGCGUAUCCAACCUGCCCACCACUUGGGGAUAACCUUGCGAAAGUAAGACUAAUACCCGAUGAUAUCUCUAGAUGACAUCUGAAAGGGAUUAAAGAUUUAUCGGUGAUGGAUGGGGAUGCGUCUGAUUAGCUUGUUGGUGGGGUAACGGCCCACCAAGCCCACGAUCAGUAGGGGUUCUGAGAGGAAGGUCCCCCACAUUGGAACUGAGACACGGUCCAAACUCCUACGGGAGGCAGCAGUGAGGAAUAUUGGUCAAUGGGCGAGAGCCUGAACCAGCCAAGUAGCGUGCAGGAUGACGGCCCUAUGGGUUGUAAACUGCUUUUAUAAGGGAAUAAAGUUAGUCUCGUGAGGCUUUUUGCAUGUACCUUAUGAAUAAGGACCGGCUAAUUCCGUG
rnacentral:rRNA from 1 species